rnacentral:tRNA from 1 species
GACCGCGUAGCUCAGUUGGCAGAGCAUUGGGCUAGUAUUCCAAAGGUGGUAGGUUCGAUUCCCACCGUGGUCA